rnacentral:rRNA from 1 species
UACGGAGGGUGCAAGCGUUAUCCGGAUUCACUGGGCUUAAAGGGUGCGUAGGUGGGUUGGUAAGUCAGUGGUGAAAUCCCCGAGCUUAACUUGGGAACUGCCAUUGAUACUAUCAGUCUUGAAUAUUGUGGAGGUUAGCGGAAUAUGUCAUGUAGCGGUGAAAUGCUUAGAUAUGACAUAGAACACCAAUUGCGAAGGCAGCUGGCUACGCAUAUAUUGACACUGAGGCACGAAAGCGUGGGGAUCAAACAGG